rnacentral:lncRNA from 1 species
AUAAGGUCUGAUUUUAUGUGCAAACCCAGUGCUCUUUAGACAUCAAUUCUCUGUCUCUCCCAGGAACUCUUCAUCUCACUGCACUGAUAAGAGAAUAAGCUGGUCUAAAUCAGUUGGGAGACUUGAGACGAGGUGAACUUAUCUCCUAACCUCCUUCACCACAAAGCAUUUGAUUAAUUGGAGCAGCAUCUUUCCAGUGUCCUUCUUUCCACUAAGGAGUGACUAGCCAAACCCGCAUUGCUCUUUCAGAAGAUCAAAGGGACUGCUGCCCACCUAAUGGCAGGCCAGACAGGAUUGUUCCAUUAUGCCUGGACAGAUAUUCCCCAGGAAGCCUUCUACUCACAAGCCAGGGCUGACUAUAGAUCCUAACACAAAGCAGAAGCAAUUCUCCUGGGAAACCCUCAGAGCCAUGCCCAGUGAAGCUAUAUGGACAGAAUGCAGAGUAUAUCUGUACACAGCGCAGCCUUUCCUAUGUUGGGUCCAUAACCCAGUGCUGAGCAAAGAGUACACGGCGAGAGGGCCUUCUUAUGAUUUAGAUAACAUUUUUCUAUAGCAAAAGUUGUAUGGCUAAUUGGGUUUGGGUCUUUCAGGAGUCUACAGUCAGUCUUUCAGGAGUCUUUGAACAAGUCUACAAAACAAUGAGUCUUGUGCACUCCAAAUUUCCCAUAUGACUGUUUUGCAAGUGGAUGGAGUCAGCAAUAAGGUCACAGACACCAAGUUAAAGAAGUACGUUUAUCUUUACUUACGUUUAAAGCAAUGAGAUAACGGUACAAAGGCUCUUAUAUUAUUUUUU